UUUCCUACGGGGCGCAGCAGUGGGGGAUAUUGCACAAUGGGGGAAACCCUGAUGCAGCGACGCCGCGUGGGUGAAGAAGCGCCUCGGCGCGUAAAGCUCUAUCAGCAGGGAAGAAAGAAAUGACGGUACCUGACUAAGAAGCCCCGGCUAACUACGUGCCAGCAGCCGCGGUAAUACGUAGGGGGCAAGCGUUAUCCGGAUUUACUGGGUGUAAAGGGAGCGUAGACGGCGAUGCAAGUCUGAAGUGAAAGGCGGGGGCCCAACCCCCGGACUGCUUUGGAAACUGUAUAGCUGGAGUGCAGGAG
rnacentral:rRNA from 1 species